GAUACCCAUUUGCCAUUAGACUGAAUAGUGAGGGCAUUUUUCUUGGCACAAAGGCGAAGAGAUUAUGCGGUUUUCAUCGUAUGCAACGUUUGUCUACCGAGUCCAGUCUUGACCGUGAAAGUCUGCCAAAUCGCGAAAAAACCUAGACGAGUUUAGUCAGCAUUUUGAACGCUUUAACACAUUGUGGCGACCGGGGGCAGUUUCCGACUUGUCAGACUAUUCAUAUUUGGCCUUGAUGCAUCAUGUUGCUUGCCGGGAGAUGUCCAGUCUGAAAUGAUUUAAUUAUUUGCUAAUUAGCUUCUUUGAAGGUCAAUGGAUCGUUCACAUUCCGAUACAGGAGAUAGUGUCAGCUUUGAAAUGUCGCAUGUGAGCUUUGACUGGAUAUUAGUCAAGUUUCAGGUUUAGCUAACAAGCUGAUACAUUGGACCCAAAAAUAAGUUAUAGGUAUAGUUCUUCAGGACAAAUUUCAGCGUUUCCUAAUACAGAACGAUGGUACUAGUAACUAUUGCAAGGCUGUUCUCUAAACGGCUGUGCUUGUGUUUGAUUUUUUCUUUUUCAAUUCCAUUGUUCUUUGGCACACUAAAGUUAUUGCUCUGAGUUGCACAACAAAAAACUUGUUAGCAGAUUUAAAUUGAUUUCUUCUUAGUUAUGCUCUGAAACAGCUAGGAUAGGAUAGGAAGAGGUAUUUUUUGUCACGUAACUAUGUUAGUAGUAUACAGCAAAAUUUACGUAUUUUUUUAAAUAUUAUAUGUAUUUUGGCUAGAAAAAUAGAUUUUUCUUUGAAAACAAUAGAUAAACUCAUAAAUGGUAACUUUUUUUUGAUCAAGUUAUGAAACAAUUUGUUCCUAUGUGUAACUAGUUUGGGUUUGUUGAGUUAGUCGAAAGAAAUGUACUACAAAAAAAGACUGACUUUGUAGGGAAUGUUAAACUAUUAGCUGCUGUUUUAGUUUUAUUAGUUGUGGCAAUUAGUUUAGUAACGAAAAGUUUCUAAUUUUUGUAAUGUGCUCGUAAUUCAGAUAAACUGUUGACUAAUCUGAUAGCAUUUGUCAGGUUUUAGGGUAACACACAUACAAAGUUACUCCAAGCAUUUAGUAAAUAUGCCAAAGUACAAACUUGGCUAUCAAGUCAAGAGUUGUUUUAACCUCAGAAUGCAACUUGCAAGUCUUAGAAAACUAUCGAUAAGCCGAAUGAAUUGAGUGAAGGAAGGUUUUACAAAACAAUGUACUCACUUUAAUUUUAAUUAAUUCGUAAACAGUUCCAAUAAAACCUUGUAUAUUUACAUUUGUAAAAUUAGUUAAGUGUCUGUUUAUUUUUCAAUGUUUGAUUUUUUAAAAUAAACCAGUUCAUGAACACAUUACUAACACUUUUUUCUUUAAAGUAGGGAAUCUGCAAAACGUUUGGCUAGAGCAGUUAUUUUUGCAUGCCAACGGGUGCAACUUAAACAAACAUUAUCAGAAAUAAUGAACUGCUGUUAACUUUUUGAAUCAUGAAUAAUAAUCGAUCGUUCCAAAAAAUUAUGAAUUAA